rnacentral:pre_miRNA from 1 species
UGGGUACUUAUUCAAUGUUUGUUAGUUAGUCAAUAAGCAUUAUUAAGUAUCUACU